rnacentral:rRNA from 1 species
AGCGAACGCUGGCGGCAGGCUUAACACAUGCAAGUCGAACGCCCCGCAAGGGGCGUGGCAGACGGGCGAGUAACACGUGGGAACGUACCCUUUGGUUCGGAAUAACUUGGGGAAACUCAAGCUAAUACCGGAUAAGCACUUAUGGGGAAAGUUUUACUGCCGAAGGAUCGGUCCGCGCCGGAUUGGCUAGUUGGUGAGGUAAGGGCUCACCAAUGCGACGAUCAGUAGGUGGGUCGAUGGGUCGUUCAGCCACACUGGGGCUGCGAAACCGCCCAGACUCCUCCGCAAGGUAGCAGUGGGUGAUGUUGGAGAAUGGGGGCAACACCGAUCCAGCCAUGCCGCGUGGGUGAUGAAGGCCUUAGGGUUGUAGAGCUCUUUGACCCGGGACUAUAAUGACUUUCCCGGGAGAAUAAGCCCCGGCUAACUUCGUGCCAGCCGCCACCGUAA